GUCAGUGUCAUUAACGCGCAGGGUCCACCCGUUCCCAUUCCGAACACGGAAGUUAAGCUGCGCAGUGCCGACAAUACUUGGCUGGAGACGGCCCGGGAAGAUAGGUCGACGCCAACU
rnacentral:rRNA from 1 species